AAGGUCAGGAUAUUCAGACAGUUUUAAAUGCUUGAAACUACCAAAUCCCACCUGAUCUCAUUUGCUUUGAGAUAGAGGGAUUUGACUUCAGAUUCUUUCAGUUGAUCUUCAAGGAAUUCGAUUUGGGUGUGAAAAGUGUUGCAAUUUGGGAACGGGGAAGAACAAGAGAGGAUGAGGUUUCAAUCAGGGAAGAAAAGGUGAGGUUUUGAUUUGGCCAUUUCAGGAUUUGGAAGAGUGAGAUUUUGAUUUGGAUUCUGAAAUGGGUGAAGAAUGAAACCGUGUUAUGGAAUGGGAAGAGUUGGGUUUUUUUUUUGUUUUUAUUAGAGUUUUUUUUUAUAUAUUUUCAAUUUAGAGGU
rnacentral:lncRNA from 1 species